AUUGAACGCUGGCGGCAGGCCUAACACAUGCAAGUCGAGCGGAGCGACGGGCGGGUGGGUAAUGACUAGGAAUCUGACUGCUCGUGGGGGAUAGCGUCCGGCAAGGGGCGCUAAUACAGCAUACUAUCAGCUGAGCGUAGGGCGGAUUAGCUAGUUGGUGGGGUAAAGGCCUACCAAGGCGACGAUCCGUAACUGGUCUGAGAGGAUGAUCAGUCACACUGGAACUGAGACACGGUCCAGACUCCUACGGGAGGCAGCAGUGGGGAAUAUUGCACAAUGGGCGAAAGCCUGAUGCAGCCAUGCCGCGUGUGUGAAGAAGGUCUUCGGAUUGUAAAGUACUUUAAGUUGGGAGGCGUUACCAACAGAAGAAGCACCGGCUAACUCCGUGCCAGCAGCCGCGGUAAUUC
rnacentral:rRNA from 1 species